ensembl:rRNA 5S_rRNA 5S ribosomal RNA
ACCUGCAGCCCUGCACCACCUCUGAGCUGUGACCUUCUCUGAGCUCAUAAGCUAAGCAGGAUUGGGCCAGGUCAGUGCUUGGAUGGGAGACCUCAAAGCAAAGCCGAGGUGCUGCAGGAG